rnacentral:rRNA from 1 species
CCUACGGGUGGCUGCAGUGAGGAAUCUUGCGCAAUGGGGGAAACCCUGACGCAGCAACGCCGCGUGAGUGAGGAAGGUCUUCGGAUCGUAAAGCUCUGUCGGGUGGAAAGAAAUGUAUGGGGUUAAUAGCCUUCAUACUUGACGGUACCACCAAAGGAAGCACCGGCUAACUCCGUGCCAGCAGCCGCGGUAAUACGGGGGGUGCAAGCGUUGCUCGGAAUUAUUGGGCGUAACUUGGGUGUAGGCAUCUGAAAGCCCUGGGCUUAACCCAGGAAGUGCAUUUGAGACUGCCAGGCUUGAGUAGGGGAGAGGGAAGUGGAAUUCCUGGUGUAGAGGUGAAAUUCGUAGAUAUCAGGAGGAACACCGGUGGCGAAGGCGACUUCCUGGCCCUAUACUGACGCUGAGACGCGAGAGCGUGGGUAGCAAACAGGAUUAGAUACCCCAGUAGUC